AUACGUAGGGGGCGAGCGUUGUCCGGAAUGAUUGGGCGUAAAGGGCGCGUAGGCGGCGCGGUAAGUCUGGAGUGAAAGUCCUGCUUUCAAGGUGGGAAUUGCUUUGGAUACUGCCGCGCUUGAGUGCAGGAGGGGUUAUCGGAAUUCCCGGUGUAGCGGUGAAAUGCGUAGAGAUCGGGAGGAACACCAGUGGCGAAGGCGGGUAACUGGACUGCAACUGACGCUGAGGCGCGAAAGUGUGGGGAGCAAACAGGAUUAGAUACCCUGGUAGUCCACACUGUAAACGAUGAAUGCUAGGUGUAAGAGGUAUCGACCCCUUUUGUGCCGGAGUCAACACAAUAAGCAUUCCGCCUGGGGAGUACGGCCGCAAGGUUGAAACUCAAAGGAAUUGGCGGGG
rnacentral:rRNA from 1 species